GUGGGGAAUAUUGGGCAAUGGGCGCAAGCCUGACCCAGCAACGCCGCGUGAAGGAAGAAGGCUUUCGGGUUGUAAACUUCUUUUACCAGGGACGAAACAAAUGACGGUACCUGGUGAAUAAGCCACGGCUAACUACGUGCCAGCAGCCGCGGUAAUACGUAGGUGGCGAGCGUUAUCCGGAUUUAUUGGGUGUAAAGGGCGUGUAGGCGGGACAGCAAGUCAGAUGUGAAAACCAGAGGCUCAACCUCUGGCCUGCAUUUGAAACUGUUGUUCUUGAGUGUCGGAGAUGUAAUCGGAAUUCCGUGUGUAGCGGUGAAAUGCGUAGAUAUACGGAGGAACACCAGUGGCGAAGGCGGAUUACUGGACGAUAACUGACGCUGAGGCGCGAAAGCGUGGGGAGCAAACAGGAUUAGAUACCCCUGUAGUCC
rnacentral:rRNA from 1 species